rnacentral:misc_RNA from 1 species
GAUGAAGAACGCAGCGAAAUGCGAUAAGUAAUGUGAAUUGCAGAAUUCAGUGAACCAUCGAAUCUUUGAACGCACAUUGCGCCCGGCAGUAAUCUGCCGGGCAUGCCUGUCCGAGCGUCAUUUCUGCCCUCGAGCGAGUCCAGCAUCUAGGUGCUGGGCCCGCCCGGCGUUGGGGCACUACGGGAAGCCCUGUGCUGUCCCCCGUAGGCCCCGAAAUGAAGUGGCGGUCCUGCCGCGGCUCCCCCUGCGUAGUAUAACAGCUCGCUUCGGGACCCGGUGGAGGCCUGCCGUCAAACCUUACUCUCUAAGUUUGACCUCGGAUCAGGUAGGGUUACCCGCUGAACUUAAGCAUAUCAAUAAGCGGAGGA